rnacentral:rRNA from 1 species
AUGGCAAGAGCAGCGGCGGCGGAGGCCUUCUCGCAGCGCCUGGGCGCGGCCGUGCGCGGCCUCUCCGGCGCCUGGUACAGCCGUCAUAUGGCCGCCGCCGACCGCGCCAUCCGCGCCCGACUCCCCCUUGUUGACCUCGUCCUCGAGGUCCGCGACGCCCGCGUACCCCCCACCUCAGCGUUCGAGCUUCUCCACCGCCGCUCCCCGUGGGAGCCCGAUGUGCGUCGGCUCGUCGCGCUCAACAAGGCCGACCUGGCUGAUCCGUCCGAAACCGAGAAGUGGGUGGCGUUCAUGAAGCAAAGGGGCUGCUCGUGCAUCGCGGUCAAUUCACACAGCAGGGAAAGCAUCAAUGAGCUGUUGAAUGCUGUGCGUGGGAGGAUCAGGGAGAUCAAGCUUGGGGUGAGCGACUGCACAGGGACUGUUCUCUUGGUCGGUAUCCCUAAUGUUGGCAAGUCGGCCAUCAUCAAUACGAUGCAUCAAAUUGGAAGGAUUGGGGCAGCAGAGAAGGGAAAGCUCAAGCAUGCGAUUGUCAGCAGCCAUCCCGGAGAAACCAGAGAUAUAAGUGGCUACAAGGUUGCCAGUCAUCCAAAUAUAUAUGUGUUAGACACUCCUGGUGUUCUAUCUCCUAUAUUUGCGAAUGAUGAAUCUGGUCCCAGGCUAGUUUUGACAGGAGCAAUUAAGGAUUCCUUGUUAGAGGGGUAUGAGAUUGCACAAUUCCUUCUUACAGUUUUUAACUUAAGGACGGAAUGCAGUGAGUGGGAGAACCUGAAUCUAGACGGAGAUAAAUCUUCUUUUGCUGAUGCAAUUCCCACCAGGAGUUGCCAUACUAAAAGGCAGUAUUCCUCAGAUCAUACCCAGGAUUUUAUCGUUAGAGCCGUUCGUCAAGCGCUUUCCGAGACCAUAGCAUCUUUUCAGGGAGAUUUAGGAAAUGAGAAUGAUUUAAGAAGAUUGGUAGAAAUCCAGUUUACACACUUGCAGAAAGCUUUCAGGAUUUCUGCUGAAACAAUUGAGGAUAGGAAUAAACUUGUCGCUGUCAAAUUACUCAAUCUCUAUCGCACAGGAAGGCUUGGCCAUUAUACCUUGGACCAUGUUACAGAUGUUAGGCAGGAAGUAGCUGCAUAA